CCUAUGGAGUAUUAUACCAAACUUGAGUAGGUUUUUACGAAAAAGGAUACAGUGAAGUAGGAA
rnacentral:sRNA from 12 species